CUAGAUUUGGAAAUCUCUGUCUACGUGUAUGAAAGGAGGGAAGCAGCUAUAAAUUAGAAAGGAGAUAGGAAAGUGAAGAUAUUUACUAGACUCUGCCUUUGCUUGCAGUUCUCUGGCUUGAUUGAGGAGGUUCUCACUUUCAUCUUUAUGGGACUUUGGCUAAAAAAAUAAACUGUCAAAGGAACUGGCAUUUGCUGACUGGACUACAGCACAUCUCGAAGAAUCUGCAGACUGAAACCUUCAAGGCAUUCAUGAAAUGGUCUUCCCUUAGUUCCCCUGCCUUUUCCACUCUUUCUGCCAUUUGGAUUUCACACUGGAAGUUCAAGAGAUGACAUCAGAAAACAGAAAAGCCAGUGGGAAAGGCAAGGAGAUUUGGAAGAGUGUUUGAAAAUUUUGGCAAUCAAGAAUAAGAAGGUCAGUAAAUUUCAGUGCAGGACCACAUAAGUCUAAAAUACUACCUACGAUUUUGCUUAAAGAUCGUGCAACUGUGUAGACGGAUGUUCCUGCAAACCCGAUUGUUCUGCUACUGCAUAAAGAAUAUGUCUUGAAGGACAAGAGUGGAGACAGUUGGAUCAGCUAGGAGGCUCUGGUGGCAAUUUAAACUGUAGAUGAGGUGACUUGGACCAAAGAGCAGCAGUAGAGACAAGGAAAGUGGUCAGAAAUCAAGAUUCAAGGCCUGGUGUGGUGGCUCACGCCUGUAAUCCCAGCACUCUGGGAUGCCAAGAAAGCAGGAAGCCAAGUCACCAGGCAGAACUGAUAGCAUGGGAAGUGGGUUCCCACCAGUCGCAUGCAGCUGCUCUGGUAUGGCCAUGGUGCUGGGGAUGAGUCAGAAAUCUCAGUCUUUUCUGGCUUAAAGAAAAGGAAGAAUGGAACCCAUCUUCUCCAGAUAUGUUGUUAUGGGGUAGGUGUAGGUCUAGAGACAGAAAAGAAUCACAUUUGAACAUCCUCUUAAUGCAAGAACAUUUUUAAAGAAACAAUUUUCCCUGAAUAUCCAUCAAGCCUAAUACAGUGUGACUAUCUGAGAUCAAUUAUUCUUAUCUUUACAAAGACUGGGAGUUAUACAGCAAAAGCAAUACUGUAAAAUAUGUGUAUUAAAAUAUGUAAAAGAAGGGAGUUG
rnacentral:lncRNA from 1 species